AUCUAAGUAGUUUAAGUAUAAAAUGUUGGUUUGUGGUGCCGAUGAUACAGCUGUGUUUUAGAUU
rnacentral:tRNA from 1 species